rnacentral:misc_RNA from 1 species
UUAAGUUCAGCGGGUAGUCCUACCUGAUUUGAGGUCAAAAGGUUCAAUUCAUGCAGCAUCGUCGCUCGCGCAACAACGCAAAAGGGUUAUAGGCAUACAACAAACUAGGACACUUCCAUCCACGGCGAUCAUUAUCACACCGAAAGACGUUGUCGUGCCUUUGUCUUUGCCAAUGCAUUUAAGGAAAGCCGACGGUCAAC